rnacentral:snoRNA from 1 species
UACAAGGAUGAUAAAACUACACAGACCUGAUCUGACGAGAGCCCCUGGGUUCCAAUGCAGACAAACCGUAUUGCCUUUUUUUGCUGACG